AGCCCUAAACGAGUCGCUAUAUUUUGACAGCUAAACCAACGAGCGAAAGGCGUGUAGAAUUAUAAAGAAACGAGUGAUGCACUCGUACUGUCAGUCUAAGUUAUCCUAAUGCAAUAAUUUUUUUCUACACUGCUACUUUGAAUAAAAUAAUUUAAGCUUCCGGAAUUGUAACAGGAAAUUUAUUAACAUAAGAAAGUGUUAAACUUCAAAAUGUUCCAUAGAAGCGGUUUAAGAUGAAGACACAAAUUUAUGUGUACUAAAAAUUAAAAUGUUUAAAGGGAAGAGAAAACAUGAAAACCAUUAAACUAUGCAUACACAAACAUACAAGUGCAGUCAAACAAAGAAGGUGAUGUGCACACAUUCAAAACGCGAAUUAAGUAGAAAUUUUAUGAUUCCGACACGAAAAUUUUUUCCGUUUCGCACUCGUUUCUGUCGUCUUUCUGCAACUACUUUUCAGCUUCGUUUGCUCGUUGAAUGGUUUUACUACCGCUGCAUUUGCUAUUCACGUCAACGGAAUGAAGAAUCGUUCAUAGUCAAAGGAUUUCUGUAUAGUUGACUUUAUCUAACAAACACUUUAUGCGGGAAAAGACAAACCUUUUUCAAACAGGAACCUUAAGUUAAACUGUGCUCUCGCUUUAGCAAAAAACGAUGCGUGGGAGAGAAUAAACUGAUGAUACUACAGACAGUAUUUGUAUACGUGAUGUGUCAAAGCGAAAUUUGCAGAAUAUAUAGCAUUGCCAGGCAAUACAAUUAAUAAA